rnacentral:rRNA from 1 species
AACGUAGGAGGCAAGCGUUAUCCGGAGUUACUGGGCGUAAAGCGCAUGUAGGCGGUUGGGUAAGUGGCGUGUGAAAGCUCCCGGCUAAACUGGGAGAGGACAGGUCAGACUGCCGAACUGGAGUCCGAUAGAGGAGCGUAGAAUUCCGGGUGUAGCGGUGAAAUGUGUAGAGAUCCGGAGGAAUACCAGUGGCGCAAGCGGCGCUCUGGGGUCGGAACUGACGCUGAUAUGCGAAAGCGUGGGGAGCGAACGGG